rnacentral:rRNA from 1 species
GACGAACGCUGGCGGCGUGCUUAACACAUGCAAGUCGAACGGAAAGGCACUGCUUUUGUGGGGUGCUCGAGUGGCGAACGGGUGAGUAACACGUGAGUAACCUGCCCUUGACUUUGGGAUAACUUCAGGAAACUGGGGCUAAUACCGGAUAGGAGCUCCUGCUGCAUGGUGGGGGUUGGAAAGUUUCGGCGGUUUGGGAUGGACUCGCGGCUUAUCAGCUUGUUGGUGGGGUAGUGGCUUACCAAGGCUUUGACGGGUAGCCGGCCUGAGAGGGUGACCGGCCACAUUGGGACUGAGGUACGGCCCAGACUCCUACGGGAGGCAGCAGUGGGGAAUAUUGCACAAUGGGCGGAAGCCGGAUGCAGCAACGCCGCGUGCGGGAUGACGGCCUUCGGGUUGUAAACCGCUUUCGCCUGUGACGAAGCGUGAGUGACGGUAAUGGGUAAAGAAGCACCGGCUAACUACGUG